UACAUAGGGGGCAAGCGUUGUCCGGAUUUAUUGGGCGUAAAGAGCGUGUAGGCGGCCAGGUAGGUCAGCUGUGAAAACUCGAGGCUCAACCUCGAGACGUCGGUUGAAACCACCUGGCUAGAGUCCGGAAGAGGAGAGUGGAAUUCCUGGUGUAGCGGUGAAAUGCGCAGAUAUCGGGAGGAACACCUAUGGCGAAGGCAGCUCGCUGGGACGUUACUGACGCUGAGACGCGAAAGCGUGGGGAGCAAACAGG
rnacentral:rRNA from 1 species